rnacentral:rRNA from 1 species
GACAGAGGGUGCAAACGUUGUUCGGAAUUACUGGGCGUAAAGCGCGUGUAGGCGGCUACGCAAGUCGGAUGUGAAAGCCCUUGGCUCAACUGAGGAAGUGCAUUCGAAACUGCGUAGCUCGAGUCCCGGAGAGGAUGGUGGAAUUCUCGGUGUAGAGGUGAAAUUCGUAGAUAUCGAGAGGAACACCAGUGGCGAAGGCGGCCAUCUGGACGGUGACUGACGCUGAGACGCGAAAGCAUGGGGAGCAAACAGG